UAGUUGGUGGAGUAAUAGCCUACCAAGGCAAUGAUCUAUAGCUGAUCUGAGAGGAUGAUCAGCCACACUGGAACUGAGAUACGGUCCAGACUCCUACGGGAGGCAGCAGUGGGGAAUAUUGGACAAUGGGCGAAAGCCUGAUCCAGCCAUGCCGCAUGAGUGAAGAAGGCCUUUGGGUUGUAAAGCUCUUUUAGUGAGGAAGAUAAUGACGGUACUCACAGAAGAAGUCCUGGCUAACUCCGUGCCAGCAGCCGCGGUAAUACGGAGAGGGCUAGCGUUAUUCGGAAUUAUUGGGCGUAAAGGGCGCGUAGGCUGAUUAAUAAGUUAAAAGUGAAAUCCCGAGGCUUAACCUUGGAAUUGCUUUUAAAACUAUUAAUCUAGAGAUUGAAAGAGGAUAGAGGAAUUCCUGAUGUAGAGGUAAAAUUCGUAAAUAUUAGGAGGAACACCAGUGGCGAAGGCGUCUAUCUGGUUCAAAUCUGACGCUGAAGCGCGAAGGCGUGGGGAGCAAACAGGAUUAGAUACCCUGGUAGUCCACGCUGUAAACGAUGAAUGUUAAAUAUGGGAAGUUUCCUUU
rnacentral:rRNA from 1 species